rnacentral:rRNA from 1 species
AUUGAACGCUAGCGGGAUGCUUUACACAUGCAAGUCGAACGAGUGGCGGACGGGUGAGUAAUGUCUGGGAAACUGCCUGAUGGAGGGGGAAAACUCCGGGAAACGGAGGCAAAUACCGCAUACAACAGGAUGUGCCCAGAUGGGAUUAGCUAGUGGGUGGGGUAAAGGCUCACCAAGGCAACGAUCCGUAGCUGGUUUGAGAGGACGACCAGCCACACUGGGACUGAGACACGGCCCAGACUCCUACGGGAGGCAGCAGUGGGGAAUUUUGGACAAUGGGGGAAACCCUGAUCCAGCCAUCCCGCGUGUAUGAUGAAGGCCUUCGGGUUGUAAAGUACUUUUGGCAGAGAAGCGGUAUCUGCAGAAUAAGCACCGGCUAACUACGUGCCAGCAGCCGCGGUAAUUC